rnacentral:sRNA from 12 species
ACUAUGGAGAGUAUAAGAAUUUAUGAGUAAAUACAAUUUAUUGAAAGUAUGCUCGUUGAAGUAGUAA